CUUGAAGAAUUGGGCAUAGUGUUGAGCGACCCCAUUCAAAAAGUAUUAAAAACAAAGUUUAGCGCUGCUUAGGAAGAGUUCACUGCUAAGAAUGAACUGGAAGACACUUAUGCCUUUAAUCUCAAAACACUGGAAGGACAGGAUGUUGUCUUUAUGAUGGAGAAUAGUAUUUUGCGAUUCAUCAUAUCUUUGGACAGGAUGUUGUCUUUAUGAUGGAGAUGAUGUCUUUAUGAGUAUUGAGUGAUUCAUCAUAGUUCUGGUAAGAA